GACGAACGCUGGCGGCGUGCCUAACACAUGCAAGUCGAGCGGGGUUGAAGCGAGAGGUAACUCGAACUUCUACCUAGCGGCGGACGGGUGAGUAACGCGUGGGCAACCUGCCUCAAGGUCUGGGAUAACAGCCCGAAAGGGCUGCUAAUACUGGGUAUGCUUGUGGCCUCGCAUGGGGCUAUGAGCAAAGGGGAAACCCGCCUUGAGAUGGGCCCGCGUCCCAUCAGCUAGUUGGUGAGGUAACAGCUCACCAAGGCGACGACGGGUAGCCGGCCUGAGAGGGUGACCGGCCGACACUGGGACUGAGACACGGCCCAGACUCCUACGGGGGCAGCAGUGGGGGAUCUUGCACAAUGGGCGAAAGCCUGAUGCAGCGACGCCGCGUGAGCGAAGAAGGCCUUCGGGUUGUAAAGCUCUGUCUGGAGGGACGAAGGAAGUGACGGUACCUCCGGAGGAAGCCACGGCUAACUACGUGCCAGCAGCCGCGGUAAAUCACGUGUA
rnacentral:rRNA from 1 species